UGACGUUUAUACAUUAGGAAGUCCUCUAUAAGAAAAAUGGCUUCAAAUUACAGUAGACACAAAGUUUGGAAGGAGCCGUACCUGAGAGUUCUGCGCUGAAGCUCCAUCAGCUCCAGUAAACCAGCCUCAGCUUCUGGCACAGAUCCCGGCAACACAGGGCAGAGGGUGCGAUGAGGAGGGAGGGGGGAGACUAACGGGCAAAAGCCAUGCCAGCCUGCCUUGGGACUUCCCCCAGUUAGCUGACAGGAAGGUGGACCUCCUGCAGUCAGCUGACAAUCCAGCAAUAUCUGUCCACCAGCGUGGUAUCAGCCAUUUUUCAAAUAUCCCAAAUCAGCUGAUAUUUGAUCAUCUUAUUAGGCAAAACAACAGGAGAGAUGGCCAACUUAGUGGAGCUGAUCUACCGCACGCCUUCAAAGAGACUGGGUUUCACCCUUUGCUUCCUUUACUACAUUCAGGCAAAUAUGUAGUAACGCUAUCGGGAUACUCAAUCAAAAUAUGAGAAGAAAACACUUAAUGGAGGGACGACCCAGGG
rnacentral:lncRNA from 1 species